rnacentral:rRNA from 1 species
UACAGAGGUGGCAAGCGUUGUUCGGAAUUACUGGGCGUAAAGCGCGUGUAGGCGGCUCUUCAAGUCAGGCGUGAAAGCCCCAGGCUCAACCUGGGAACUGCGCUUGAUACUGUCGAGCUAGAGUGUGGAAGGGGCGAUUGGAAUUCCGUGUGUAGCGGUGAAAUGCGUAGAGAUCUGGAGGAAUACCGAUGGCGAAGGCAGCCCCCUGGCCUGAUACUGACACUGAGGUGCGAAAGCAUGGGGAGCAAACAGGAUUAGAAACCCCGGUAGU